ACAGCAACUCCAUUGACUUUCUUUCUUACAUUGAAUUUCCCACAUGGGGGAGCACUUCAGAACUGCCAGUCAUGCUUACACCACUACUGCUGUUUCAGUCCAGAAAGAUCACGCGUCUGUUGUGUACGUGCACCAGCACUGCUCUGGUGCCUUUCAUUCUGCUCUACUCUGGCCACUUGAGAUAGGCUCUUGAACUCUAAUGCUGAGACUGCUGCUUGCACGGCAUCCUCUACCCUCUUGAUACUGGGAGAGGUGGACCUAGCACUCAGGCAGGAAAGGAGCUGUUUCCCCAAGAUGACAAAGGUGUGUGUAUACCCAGCAACUCUGAUGUUCUAGAGACAUGGGAGGCCAUGGAAGAGCUGGUGGAUGCUGGUCUGGUAAAAGCCAUUGGCAUCUCCAACUUUAACC